GAAAGCUUAUGCUCAAAUAACUUGGUUAGUCUGUAAGGUGCCGCAAGUCCUACUUUUCUUUCUGCGGAUACAGACUAACAUUGCUGCUACUCUGAAACCUGUAUUCUUGUAGUGUGACUAUGCUGUAUGCCUGAAGCUAAGGAACUGGGAGCAGGAGUCACUUUCUGAACCAGGGUAUUUCAGUUGGCCAUGUAAUAUUUUGUGGCAGCGAUAGGUUUAGUUUUUGCAGGGUCUGUGGGAAUUAUGUCUUUUAUGUCUUAUUCCAUCCCUUUAAUAAUAGUAGGACACUUCUACUGUCUUGAACAAAUUCUGGAAAGUCAUUAGCCAUCUCUGAGUAAUUUCAGUUCUGAACCGGAUCUUGGAGCCAUAUUCCUGUCUGACUAGUGGAGUAUUUCAUUGAUUCAGUGUGUGUCAACAAAGCUCUCUUACUAUUUUUAUGAAGGGUAAGGCCCUGAUGCUUAGGUUAGUGUAAAAUUCAGUGGACUUACGCUGAUCUGGAGUUUUUCAUCCAGACUUCAGUGCUUCACUGCCUAUUCCGCAGUUUCUUUUGUUUUUGGCAGAAAUGUUUUGAUUUAUGCCCCUGGUUUAUGUGUGUGUGUGUAAAUUUUACUCAGAAAUGAAAUACUUUCAGAGUUUUGUUUUAGGAAGACUAGAAAAGUGGAUUCAUUCCAAGGAAAACUUUCAGUGCUUUCCCUUUCUUCCACAGUCCUAAUGAGAACCCCAAGCAUAUGGUAGCUAAUUAAACUUGUGCUGCUUGGGGAUAGUUAGAAUAUCAUGGAACUUUUAAUGAGUAAAGUGUGAUAAUUUCUCUGUGAUUCAUUGUAACUGUGUAAAAAUUUUUCACAGUUUAAAUAUAAAAAUGGGUAAAAAUGACUAUUAAAGGCAGUGGAAACUAAAUUUUUAAAAUUAGUUUCCAUUAUGACAUGGAGACCAGUGGAGUUUCCUAUACUGAAUUGUAUGGUGUGCGACUAUCUUCUGGAAUAGUAACAUGGAUGUUUUUUGUGUUGCAUUUAAAUUACAGUUGGGAGUGGAGAGGAGGGGAACGGAAAUUUAUCUUUCUGCUUGGAAAAAAAGUGGGGAAGAUGCUCUCUGAAGAGCCCAUUCAUUUCUGGGAAGCUUAUGUUUAGUGAUCCUACCAAAUAUUUGGCUGCAGUUUCUCCUUCUUCAUCUCAAUGUGUAAGCCGUGACUAAAUGCUGCUCUGACCUGAUGUUUGAAGGAAUUGUCAUUUGAGUGGAACUGUGGGAGUGCUAUUGUGUUUCAAGACCUCUGAGCAUCAUCUCUGAUGUUUGUAAUCCCUUCUGGGCAAAAAUGAGUUAGACCAAAGGUUAUCCUUGCAUCCAGAGGUGGCAGAAAUUGCUUCACUUCGCUCACCGAAUUAAGCUGGCAAUUUCUCGAUCUGCAAAUAUCACUCAACAUUUCUAUUGGGACAAUGUCCUGUUUCGAGCCAUUUGCUGCAUCAGUUAUAUGCUUCUCCAAUUUUACUGUGAAUGUAAAGCUUUCUGUUGAAAACCUCUGUUCAAUGGCAGCUUUGCAAGCAUCAAUGAUCCCGACAUAUAUUCGAUGAAAAUACUCUUUGGGUCACUGAAGGUGUGAGGGAAGGCUUCCAUGGUCGAGCCAUCUCGGUGGCUUGCAUUUUCUCAGGAGUGUAGGAUCAUCUAAAUAAAGAUUUCUUGCCUUCUCUACUGUUGUUUCCCAGAAGUGAUUGUAUGAUUAGUCGGUGCCCAUCCCACUCAACACCUCUUGCAACUGGCCAACUUUCUUCAUAACACUUGCCAAUGACAUGUUUGGGCUUUGAAUUUUUGCAUUAACUUCUUCUACAGGAUCCAUGGCUUUCACAAGAACUGUUAUUGUAAAGUACGUUGAAAAAGAUUGAAGUUGCUUUGAGAAUCCAUUACAUUUUGAGCCAAAUUCAUCGGAAGAGUAACUAAAUUCCUUUAGGCAGUUCAUCAUGGCCUCAUAGUUUUGGAGCAGUGAUUUAAUGCUACUGAUCCUUAGUGUCCAUCUUGUUGGGCACAAUGGUCAUAAAGAAGGCUCCCCUUUGCUGUGAAAGCUGCCAUACACUUUGGUGACUCCCUGAAGGCAUUGAUGAGAUCUUUCACCUUCAAAAACAUAUCACGACAUUCUUGAAUAUUAUGCAGGGCAUCCUGCGUGGCAAGGUUAAGGGAAUGUGCAGUACAGUGCACAAAUUCCACUCUUGGCUCUCGAUCCUUCACUCUGGCUUGGACCCCAGUAGAUUUGUCAGACACAUUACUGGCUCCGUUGUAACACUGCCCCAGGCAUUCAGAAAGGGCAAAUCACACCUGAGAAGUGUAUCUUCCACAAUUUUGAAAAGAGAAGCAGUAUCCAUUGCAACAGUUUGGUAAAACCCAAUAAACUCGUAAAUCUCCCAGUCUUCACUAGAAAAGAACCUUAAAGAAAAACUUAUUUGUUCUUUUCUUGACAAAUUGGUAGUCUCAUCCAUUACAAUGGCAUAAAACUGUGAAGACUUUAUCUUUUGCACAAUUCGCCUUAGUGCCAUCCUUGCCAUCAUUUAUAUUAUUUCGUUAAUAACCUCAUGUGACAGCCACUUGUAUUUUGUGCAACUAAUCCACUGUCUCAGUUCCUCUGAAUCUGUACUGCCUAGCAACAAGAGCUGCAUCAAAUUUGUAUCACUCUCAUUAUGUCCACCUAAUACUAUUCCUUGUUGAGCUAGGUACUGAACACUGUUCAAAAUUUUGUGAAGUGCAUUUCUAGCUGAUUGUGAUUCUUUUCUCUAACUGGCCGACAUUAGUGCAGAAACAUUGACCUGCGAUUGCAGAGCAGAAUACUUCAUUACUGCUUCCUUGUGACAGCUGGAUUUCCGUGUGAUGUAAAACCAUGCAGUGCGUGUCACCAAUCUUGAAAUCCGGAUGAAAUAAACGGUGGUUCGGCUUUCGUAGAAAAUAUUAAGAUCUUCUUUUCAGAACAGUUUUUGCAGACUGAGCAAAAAGCUCUGUCUAAUUUGCUAUUGUACUCCAGCCACGUAAAUCUUGAUAGCCAAGAUUGCUGAAAACUCCUUUUCUUAUCUUGGAGAUUUGCCACAUCUUUCUUUUGUAUAACUUCAGUUUGAAAGCUGCGUGUUGAGCUCAGGCCAUCACUUGAGGAAUUAUCCUUUUUCUUCUUUUUCUCUGGGUAACUUUAUUAAGAAUAUAUCCAUUGUUGAUUAUUACUGGUCCUACAAAUCAAGAAUUUGUUGCUGGGAUAAAAUGAAGCUAAAAUGCGCCGGCACCACAAAAUUACAAGGGCCAAUUAAAUGUGGAAAGUCAGAAGUAGCACUUGCCUGCUUCAAUAUAUUAUAUUUUGUUCUACCUGUAUACAACCAAUUAUAUACUUUAAAGGAUGUAAAAUAAUGAAGUAUUGUGCUAAACAUGAUCAUGCCCCAAACUGA